rnacentral:lncRNA from 10 species
GUUUCUGGAAACGCUGCAGCAUUUAACUUCAAUUUUAAUCUGGAUAACGCCAAAGCUUUUCCUCAAAUUCACCCCUGGAGUCAGCUCAUAGAUGCUCUGAUUUUGUCUACCAUUGCUCCUCCUUAAUAUCUCUCGCACAGGUGCCAUUGACCUUUAGAUGGGCUGUACGGUGUGGGGUUCGGUGCCAUGGAUCUGCUUCUCCAGGGACCAGGAUCUUGAGAUCUUCAGGCUGGGUUUCCAUGGAGGCAUGGAGCUGCUUUUCCUCCUUCAUAACUGCACUCAAAACAGCCCUGUUGCUCUAGAAUGGAGACUUGGGCAACUCCUUCUGGCACAGAUUUGUUCACCUCAGGUGAAAUUCAGAUAGAAGCAAGCUGCAGGCAGUUUCACCUCUAAGUCCAUGGGUUCUCAACUGGUAACGUCCUCUUAUGGAUGUUAGCCCAUGAGGUCAAUCCUGUAGCAAUCUAAGGCUUGAGAAAAAUUAAUCUUCUGGAAAAUUCCAAGAAUACAUCUUAGGGAAACUGGCUCUACCUUUAUGACUUGGAUCACACAAGGAUAUGCUUUUCAUCUUGGACUAGAACUGAGAGCCAAUGGAUGUGUUAUCUAAAACUAUCCCAGUGUGUUCACUAUACAGAGGAAGAUUCUGAGAUUCAAGACUCAAGACUGAAGAAGAUCAUUAUUUUUAUUAUUUUAGUCUUAUGCACAAAAUGAUAUCUACUGAAUAAGCAGGUUUUUAAUAGGUGACUUAUAUAUGUUAGCAAAAAUAAACACUUUGUCUUUUAGAUCUAUUCUAGUUUUUCAGUAGCUGUAGACUUAAGUGCUAACUUUUAGCCCAUAGGAUAAGAAGAAACCAAGUCCUAAAAGUAGGCCAGCACCAGGGUUCAGGCCUCUGACUUCAAGCCAAGGGCUCAUCAUCUUGAAUUGCGCACGAAUUUUUACACAGCGCCAAAGGAAACUGCCUGUACUUACUGUUGUAGGUGCUUUGCUGGAUUCAGGAUGCAGACAAGGUCCACGCAUUGUGGUUGGUUCAGUCCCGGAGCAGACACAACCCUGUUUGCAGAGAGCCAACAUUCUAAUUGACAGUGCGUGGUGGGAAACAGUGAACCGAGGGAAAGAGUGCCAGUGUUAGAGAGCCACAGUGCAGUGAAGAAGAGAAGGCAAGAGGAUGUGAUGCAAAAUCACAGGACCUGGCUUCCAGACCAUUCUGCUUCCAUGAGAACAUUUCAGUUGAGAACCGGAUGGCAUGAAACUUUAUUGAAGUAUCAGAGAAUCAUUUUCUUAAGAGAUGGUAAUGGAAUCCAUGCAUUUGAAAUAAAUCAACAGAAAAAAAUGAUUCAGAAGAGAGGGAACUAGCCUAAGGACAACUGUGAUAUUGUGAAAUAUAUAUAUGGGUCUUCAUCCUGUGUCCUGGCAUACCUAAAACCCUUGGAAUAUCCAAAGGCAUGCUUUUCAUGUGCAAAUGAUUGACUGAUGUCUUCAGGAUGGAGCCAAUCACCAGAAAUGUCAAAGCAUAAUUAGAGUGUUGGGACUUUCAGCCAUACCCCACACCCCUGACCUUUGGGGAGGAGAGACGGGCAGAAGGUUAAGUCCAUCAACAAUGGCCAGUGAUGUAAUCAGUCAUGCCUAUGUAAUGAAGCUUCCAUAAAAAUCCCAAAGGACUGGGUCUGGAGAGCUUCUGGAUAUCUGAGCACAUGGAGGUUCCUGGAGGGUGGUGCCUGGGGCAGUCAUGGAAGCAUCUCAUCCCUUCCCACAUGCCUUGCCCUAUGCAUCUCUUCAUCUGUAUCCUUUAAAAUAUCUUUGUAAUAAACUGCUA